rnacentral:rRNA from 1 species
AGUCUGACCUGCCCACUGAAAUUUUUAAAUGGCCGCAGUAUUCUAACUGUGCAAAGGUASCAUAAUCAUUAGUCUUUUAAUUGAAGGCUGGUAUGAACGGUUGGACGAGGUAUAAGCUGUUUCAUAUAAAUUUAUAAUAGAAUUUUAUAUUUUAGUCAAAAAGCUAAAAUAUUAUUAAAAGACGAGAAGACCCUAUAAAUCUUUAUAUUUUUUUUUAUUUAAAUUUUUUGGAUUUAUUUUAUUUUUAUAAUGGAGAAUAUUUUGUUGGGGUGAUGUUAAAAUUUAAUGAACUUUUAAUUAUAAAAAUCAUUAAUUUAUGAGUUAUUGAUCCAUUAGUAGUGAUUAUAARAUUAAGUUACUUUAGGGAUAACAGCGUAAUUUUUUUGGARAGUUCAUAUCGAUAAAAAAGUUUGCGACCYCGAUGUUGGAUUAAGAUAUAAUUUUAGGUGUAGCCGCUUAAAU